CAGGCUUAACACAUGCAAGUCGAGGGGCAGCAUGGUCUUAGCUUGCUAAGGCCGAUGGCGACCGGCGCACGGGUGAGUAACACGUAUCCAACCUGCCGUCUACUCUUGGACAGCCUUCUGAAAGGAAGAUUAAUACAAGAUGGCAUCAUGAGUCCGCAUGUUCACAUGAUUAAAGGUAUUCCGGUAGACGAUGGGGAUGCGUUCCAUUAGAUAGUAGGCGGGGUAACGGCCCACCUAGUCUUCGAUGGAUAGGGGUUCUGAGAGGAAGGUCCCCCACAUUGGAACUGAGACACGGUCCAAACUCCUACGGGAGGCAGCAGUGAGGAAUAUUGGUCAAUGGGCGAGAGCCUGAACCAGCCAAGUAGCGUGAAGGAUGACUGCCCUAUGGGUUGUAAACUUCUUUUAUAAAGGAAUAAAGUCGGGUAUGGAUACCCGUUUGCAUGUACUUUAUGAAUAAGGAUCGGCUAACUCCGUGCCAGCAGCCGCGGUAAUACGGAGGAUCCGAGCGUUAUCCGGAUUUAUUGGGUUUAAAGGGAGCGUAGAUGGAUGUUUAAGUCAGUUGUGAAAGUUUGCGGCUCAACCGUAAAAUUGCAGUUGAUACUGGAUAUCUUGAGUGCAGUUGAGGCAGGCGGAAUUCGUGGUGUAGCGGUGAAAUGCUUAGAUAUCACGAAGAACUCCGAUUGCGAAGGCAGCCUGCUAAGCUGCAACUGACAUUGAGGCUCGAAAGUGUGGGUAUCAAACAGGAUUAGAUACCCUGGUAGUCCACACGGUAAACGAUGAAUACUCGCUGUUUGCGAUAUACUGCAAGCGGCCAAGCGAAAGCGUUAAGUAUUCCACCUGGGGAGUACGCCGGCAACGGUGAAACUCAAAGGAAUUGACGGGGGCCCGCACAAGCGGAGGAACAUGUGGUUUAAUUCGAUGAUACGCGAGGAACCUUACCCGGGCUUAAAUUGCAGAUGAAUUACGGUGAAAGCCGUAAGCCGCAAGGCAUCUGUGAAGGUGCUGCAUGGUUGUCGUCAGCUCGUGCCGUGAGGUGUCGGCUUAAGUGCCAUAACGAGCGCAACCCUUGUUGUCAGUUACUAACAGGUUCCGCUGAGGACUCUGACAAGACUGCCAUCGUAAGAUGUGAGGAAGGUGGGGAUGACGUCAAAUCAGCACGGCCCUUACGUCCGGGGCUACACACGUGUUACAAUGGGGGGUACAGAGGGCCGCUACCACGCGAGUGGAUGCCAAUCCCCAAAACCUCUCUCAGUUCGGACUGGAGUCUGCAACCCGACUCCACGAAGCUGGAUUCGCUAGUAAUCGCGCAUCAGCCACGGCGCGGUGAAUACGUUCCCGGGCCUUGUACACACCGCCCGUCAAGCCAUGGGAGCCGGGGGUACCUGAAGUGCGUAACCGCGAGGAGCGCCCUAGGGUAAAACUGGUGACUGGGGCU
rnacentral:rRNA from 1 species